ensembl:lncRNA
CACGUCUCCGCGCGCGUACCCGCGUGUUUCCACGUGAGACCUCAGAACGACGCUAACAGCCCUGACACGUGGCUAACGGAUUCACUGUUAUGCAUAUGUGUCAAUAAAACAAAGUUAAUCCUAAAUUCAGUCAUGAGAAAAGAUAAAACGAAAGAAAGAAACAUUUGGAAGCAUUUCAUAAAUGCAGGCCUCGAUCAAUAUGGACCAAGAUGACGAUAAAGCCCCCGACUGACCUAAGGCUGCUAGCAUGCAUCGAAUUCAGGGAUAACAAGUGAUCUGCAAACACUAGAUUCCAUCCCGACGUUCCUCUCUUGGAUGUGUGACAACCACGAAGGCGACGACGCAGAAGGCAGUAGGAAGGAGGAAGUAUGUGGGGGGUUCAAACGUAAACAAUGAGAACCUGUGCAGCCGCCUCAACUGCUCCCAGAAUGCUUUCAAAGGAGCCUCCAUAUGGUUUGGACAUUUGAACGGAACCCCGGUGCUGCCAUUUCAAGAGGGUGUUGAUGUUUUCCUUCUUUUUUUUUCGCUCUUUGCCUUCGUCUUCACUGCCAACUCGGCUACAAUGUAGCAGAGCUAUAGCCAGCUGCCUUCAGUACAUGGACAUUGGUUCAGCCAAAGAAAGAAGCAAAUAAUGUUCAUGUGGUGCAUGCCUGUGUAGUUGUACAAUUACACCAAGGGUAGUGCAUUGGUUUUGAAAGGUUGGAACGUUAAAUUGUCCAGCAAAUAACCAAAACACAUUAUUUUAAUGUGAAUGCAACAUGUGUUUCACUUUUUCCUUAAAUUUGAAUGUGGCAUAAACAUUCUUCUUCUGGUAUAUGUCUUUGCUUGACUUUGGA